AACAAGUGAUUAUGAUACAAGCCGUGAGGACAGUGAUGUAUCACUACAAGAUUUAGGGGAGGGACUGAUUAACUUUGGAGUUGGGAUGUGCUUGGAAAAGACCUUACAGAAGAAGUAAUGUUUGAGGUGGGUUGUGAAGGAUGAUAGAGUUCACAGUAUUGAAAGGAUUGGCAUGGAGAAAGAAGAGCCAUGUAGAGGCCCUACAAAUGGUUCGUUACAGCUGCUGAGUCAAGCGUGAAGCAUUGUGAGGAGAGAAGUACAGGAGAGCACAUCAAGUUUAUAAUCCUGGAAAUAGAUUUGGAGAUUGGAAGCAUAUAGUUAAAGUCAUGGAGCCAUCAAUAAGAUACCCAGGAAAAAUCUGUGUGUGUAGCAGAAGAGAAACAGGCCAAGAGCAGGGAGAGCAAGAGAAGCCUGCAUGGGAGACAAGGAAUCAUCAGAGAGGAGAACAUACUUUCCAUGAUUUUACAGAGCACAGGUGCCAAAUGCUGCAGAGAUGCCAUGUAUGAUGAGGACACCGAAUACACUGAAUUUGGCCCUAAGGAGGAGGCUGUGCAGAUGGAAUGAGAUGAAGUGUGUGAAAAUCUAGACCUGAACCUGACAAUUGGCAGGACCACAUGUUAUUUCCCACCUCCCAUGAUGAUCCAGCCUGAAAGACAGAACCAAGCCAGCUGCGCAGUUAUCUGAGCAUAGUUACUACAGUGAGAUGUAGCCCACAGAACAGGGCUCUGUGCAAGUGAUGGAGGCUUCAGAAAGGGGACUGAUGCAGCCCCUGCCUUCAGGAAGCAGUAUCACUAACCAGCCUUUCCACCCAUUAGACUGUUAAUGGAAGUUUUAAAUGGACAAUGAUCUCAUCUGCUUUCUCGAAUGAUUGUACCUCUGAAGUUUCUAAAUAUAAACUUAAACCUUGAUACCCUUUACAUAUACACACACAGACAUGCACAC